AGGGUGUAAACGCUGCAGACUUGGUGUUGGAAGUCCUUUGGGGGCAUUCAGUGCCGGAGAGAAGUUGUUAAGUCUGCUACUUGGGGAGUACGUCCGCAAGGAUGAAACUUAGAGGAAUUGGCGGGGGAGCACCGCAACGGGAGGAGCGUGCGGUUUAAUUGGAUUCAACACCGUAAAACUCACCAGGGAAGACUGUUACAUGAAAGCCGAGAUGAAGACUCUGCUAGAUUUUCAGAGAGGAGGUGCAUGGCGUCAGUG
rnacentral:rRNA from 1 species